rnacentral:sRNA from 1 species
UAAAAAGGAAAAUCCGCCUUUUACAUUUUCCUCUAUUUACCUCUGCUGUACAGUUAAGCAUCAUGCGCAUGUGCCGACAAAAAGGCGUUGGCAACACACACACACAUAGGUAACAGCUGAAAACCAUGCAAACCAUUCCCGUGACGCGCAUGAGUCGCUGACAGAUAGGCAUCAGGGACACACACACACAAAUAGGUGACAGCUGAAAACGAUGCAAAUCAUUCCCGUGACGUACAAACGCUCAGUAUGUGCAAAUAAAUAUGAAAUAAAAUUACCAAGGAAAAUUUGGAAGAAAUUUAAUAUGCUGCAGUGAUAUACAGGAAUUAGUUCUCAUCGCUUUCGAAUAGAAUAGGACGAACAUACAGCGUGAAAAGUCCUGAAAUUUGGGAAUUUUUAAAAUUGAAAUGCGAUUUACAAUUUAUGCAGUAAUGGAAUAUUUUAACGCAAAGGAUUUAUACUACUAAUUACAGACGUACACCUUUGAUGUCUAUAAAAUAUUGUGUAUAUGGCGUAACGGAACUUCUUGGAAAAUAUGGUGUUUACUCCUAUGCGACUUAUGUGGGAAUUUUUCCAAAGCCAUUGAAAAUUAAAUGUGUGAACGUUUUUAUUUUAAUAGUUAAUGUAUACGACAUUUAUAUUCGCAACGUGUAAAUUUGAAAUAUUGGG